rnacentral:rRNA from 1 species
ACGCUGGCGGCACGCCUAACACAUGCAAGUCGAACGAAGUAGUAAUACUUAGUGGCAGACGGGUGAGUAACAUGUAGGUAUCUGCCCUUUGGCCUGGAAUAACACGAGGAAACUUGUGCUAAUACCGGAUAAGUCUUUACGGAGAAAGCUUUAUGCACCAUUGGAUGAGCCUGCACUUGAUUAGUUUGUUGGUAGGGUAAUGGCCUACCAAGACUGUGAUCAAUAGCUGAUUUGAGAGGAUGAUCAGCCACAUUGGGACUGAGACACGGCCCAAACUCCUACGGGAGGCAGCAGUGGGGAAUCUUGCACAAUGGAGGAAACUCUGAUGCAGCGAUGCCGCGUGAGUGAAGAAGGCCCUUGGGUUGUAAAGCUCUUUCGUCGGGGAAGAAAAUGACUGUACCCGAAUAAGAAGGUCCGGCUAACUUCGUGCCAGCAGCCGCGGUAAUACGAAGGGACCUAGCGUAGUUCGGAAUUACUGGGCUUAAAGAGUUCGUAGGUUGUUGAAAUAGUUGGUGGUGAAAUCCCAGAGCUUAACUCUGGAACUGCCAUCAAAACUUUUCAGCUAGAGUAUGAUAGAGGAAAGCAGAAUUUCUAGUGUAGAGGUGAAAUUCGUAGAUAUUAGAAAGAAUACCAAAUGCGAAGGCAGCUUUCUGGAUCAUUACUGACACUGAGGAACGAAAGCAUGGGUAGCGAAGAGGAUUAGAUACCCUCGUAGUCCAUGCUGUAAACGAUGUGUGUUAGACGUUGGAAAUUUAUUUUCAGUGUCGCAGGGAAACCGAUAAACACACCGCCUGGGGAGUACGACCGC